UCUCAACCUGCCCCAGCUGGUCUGCAUUGCACAGGAGCUGACUACAGGUUCCUGUAAACCAAGUGGACUGUAUGAAGCUGGGGAGGUGAGAGUAGACUCCUAAGGAAAAUGCUGCUUCUCAAGUGAGCCUGGGGCUGAAGCCUACCAAUGAAAUCUGUCUUCAGAAGGGCUGCCCUUGACUGGUUCCUGAAAGAUAACUACUCUGAGUCCUUGGAAGAUCCUGCCUGAGAAGAGUCUUUUUGUAUUUCUGAGGCCUUGGGUCACGCUGUAUCAGUUCAACUGGAUAGUUAAUGCCAACAACGUGACUUACAGUGAAUGCCAUUUCUGUUUGCCUGAAGACCUGGGCUGCAUUGUAUUACUUUGACCCUCUGUGGUUCUGCAGACUGAGUAGCUCAGGUCAGGUGUUCAUGCCUAUAUGA
ensembl:lncRNA